UACGUAGGGACCGAGCGUUGUCCGGAAUCAUUGGGCGUAAGGAGCGUGUAGGCGGCCACUUAAGUCCUGCGUGAAAUCUUGCGGCUCAACCGCAAGCGGUCGUGGGAAACUGGGUGGCUAGAGUGCGGGAGAGGAGAGUGGAAUUCCUGGUGUAGCGGUGGAAUGCGCAGAUAUCAGGAAGAACACCCGUGGCGAAGGCGGCUCUCUGGAACGCAACUGACGCUGAGACGCGAAAGCGUGGGGAGCAAACAGG
rnacentral:rRNA from 1 species